rnacentral:rRNA from 1 species
UACAUAGCAUAUCAGAAGGCACACCCGGAGAACUGAAACAUCUUAGUACCCGGAGGAAGAGAAAGAAAAUUCGAUUCCCUUAGUAGCGGCGAGCGAAACGGGAAGAGCCCAAACCAACAAGCUUGCUUGUUGGGGUUGUAGGACACUCUAUACGGAGUUACAAAGGACGACAUUAGACGAAUCAUCUGGAAAGAUGAAUCAAAGAAGGUAAUAAUCCUGUAGUCGAAAAUGUUGUCUCUCUUGAGUGGAUCCUGAGUACGACGGAGCACGUGAAAUUCCGUCGGAAUCUGGGAGGACCAUCUCCUAAGGCUAAAUACUCUCUAGUGACCGAUAGUGAACCAGUACCGUGAGGGAAAGGUGAAAAGCACCCCGGAAGGGGAGUGAAAUAGAACCUGAAACCGUGUGCUUACAAGUAGUCAGAGCCCGUUAAUGGGUGAUGGCGUGCCUUUUGUAGAAUGAACCGGCGAGUUACGAUUUGAUGCAAGGUUAAGCAGUAAAUGUGGAGCCGUAGCGAAAGCGAGUCUGAAUAGGGCGUUUAGUAUUUGGUCGUAGACCCGAAACCAGGUGAUCUACCCUUGGUCAGGUUGAAGUUCAGGUAACACUGAAUGGAGGACCGAACCGACUUACGUUGAAAAGUGAGCGGAUGAACUGAGGGUAGCGGAGAAAUUCCAAUCGAACCUGGAGAUAGCUGGUUCUCUCCGAAAUAGCUUUAGGGCUAGCCUCAAGUGAUGAUUAUUGGAGGUAGAGCACUGUUUGGACGAGGGGCCCCUCUCGGGUUACCGAAUUCAGACAAACUCCGAAUGCCAAUUAAUUUAACUUGGGAGUCAGAACAUGGGUGAUAAGGUCCGUGUUCGAAAGGGAAACAGCCCAGACCACCAGCUAAGGUCCCAAAAUAUAUGUUAAGUGGAAAAGGAUGUGGCGUUGCCCAGACAACUAGGAUGUUGGCUUAGAAGCAGCCAUCAUUUAAAGAGUGCGUAAUAGCUCACUAGUCGAGUGACACUGCGCCGAAAAUGUACCGGGGCUAAACAUAUUACCGAAGCUGUGGAUUGUCCUUUGGACAAUGGUAGGAGAGCGUUCUAAGGGCGUUGAAGCAUGAUCGUAAGGACAUGUGGAGCGCUUAGAAGUGAGAAUGCCGGUGUGAGUAGCGAAAGACGGGUGAGAAUCCCGUCCACCGAUUGACUAAGGUUUCCAGAGGAAGGCUCGUCCGCUCUGGGUUAGUCGGGUCCUAAGCUGAGGCCGACAGGCGUAGGCGAUGGAUAACAGGUUGAUAUUCCUGUACCACCUAUAAUCGUUUUAAUCGAUGGGGGGACGCAGUAGGAUAGGCGAAGCGUGCGAUUGGAUUGCACGUCUAAGCAGUAAGGCUGAGUAUUAGGCAAAUCCGGUACUCGUUAAGGCUGAGCUGUGAUGGGGAGAAGACAUUGUGUCUUCGAGUCGUUGAUUUCACACUGCCGAGAAAAGCCUCUAGAUAGAAAAUAGGUGCCCGUACCGCAAACCGACACAGGUAGUCAAGAUGAGAAUUCUAAGGUGAGCGAGCGAACUCUCGUUAAGGAACUCGGCAAAAUGACCCCGUAACUUCGGGAGAAGGGGUGCUCUUUAGGGUUAACGCCCAGAAGAGCCGCAGUGAAUAGGCCCAAGCGACUGUUUAUCAAAAACACAGGUCUCUGCUAAACCGUAAGGUGAUGUAUAGGGGCUGACGCCUGCCCGGUGCUGGAAGGUUAAGAGGAGUGGUUAGCUUCUGCGAAGCUACGAAUCGAAGCCCCAGUAAACGGCGGCCGUAACUAUAACGGUCCUAAGGUAGCGAAAUUCCUUGUCGGGUAAGUUCCGACCCGCACGAAAGGCGUAACGAUUUGGGCACUGUCUCAACGAGAGACUCGGUGAAAUCAUAGUACCUGUGAAGAUGCAGGUUACCCGCGACAGGACGGAAAGACCCCGUGGAGCUUUACUGUAGCCUGAUAUUGAAAUUCGGCACAGCUUGUACAGGAUAGGUAGGAGCCUUUGAAACGUGAGCGCUAGCUUACGUGGAGGCGCUGGUGGGAUACUACCCUAGCUGUGUUGGCUUUCUAACCCGCACCACUUAUCGUGGUGGGAGACAGUGUCAGGCGGGCAGUUUGACUGGGGCGGUCGCCUCCUAAAAGGUAACGGAGGCGCUCAAAGGUUCCCUCAGAAUGGUUGGAAAUCAUUCAUAGAGUGUAAAGGCAUAAGGGAGCUUGACUGCGAGACCUACAAGUCGAGCAGGGUCGAAAGACGGACUUAGUGAUCCGGUGGUUCCGCAUGGAAGGGCCAUCGCUCAACGGAUAAAAGCUACCCCGGGGAUAACAGGCUUAUCUCCCCCAAGAGUUCACAUCGACGGGGAGGUUUGGCACCUCGAUGUCGGCUCAUCGCAUCCUGGGGCUGUAGUCGGUCCCAAGGGUUGGGCUGUUCGCCCAUUAAAGCGGUACGCGAGCUGGGUUCAGAACGUCGUGAGACAGUUCGGUCCCUAUCCGUCGUGGGCGUAGGAAAUUUGAGAGGAGCUGUCCUUAGUACGAGAGGACCGGGAUGGACAUACCUCUGGUGUACCAGUUGUCGUGCCAACGGCAUAGCUGGGUAGCUAUGUGUGGACGGGAUAAGUGCUGAAAG